GAACCUCUGGAUCCUGUGCAAAGGCAAGGUGUGUGGAAUAAACACCUGCUGUGCACCCAGCUGGACUCUACAGCACCUACUGUGUAUUCACACUCCUGCAGGAACCCGUGUUCUUAAAGAUGAAUAAUGCUCCGCCCCCCGUGCCGGGUCUUCUGGGGAUGAGCCACAGCCUGGAGGAGCUGAGGAGGCCACAUCACAUGAGGAAGCUUUACUGUUUCCCCUUCUCCUGAAAUGUGUCUGGGAUGGAGAGUGUGGAGAGUGGGCCCACCUUUAUCUGGGUCCACUCAGGCUGCUGCAGAGACUACCCCAGACUGGGUGGCUGAUAGACAAGACAUUCAUUUUCCACACUUCCUGAGACUGGGAAGUCUGAGAUGAAGAAACCUGGAAGCAAGGAAGCCGCCACCAUGAUGCAGCGGGGAGUCCAAGGCCCUGGGAGGUCAUAUGACUCAUUCACGGUCAUCCUGCUGUGGCAGAGAUGCGAUGAAGCCCUGGCUUUGCCGACAAGAGAGAUAAAUUCUAUAAGGGGAGCUGCAGCCCUGUUCCGUGGCCCUGUGCAGCUUUGGCUGAUGUUCAGAUCUGUCCAGGGAAGAGGGCACUGUGUGGCAGAGGAGGUUCCAGGGGACCCUCUUCCCUGGGCCCACCUUGGGAACCUGAGUUCAGGACCCCAACCCCAGGUGCCAGAGUCUUCCCUGCCCUGUACAGCCCUGCUCAUGCCAUGGUCUCCUGUGGACGUUCCCUCCUUCCCACGUUGGCGGUAUUGCUGUCCAAGCUUUGCAGGGGAGGAAUCUGAGGAAUUGAGAAGUCAAGUAACACACCCAAUAGGAUAACUAGGCCUUCUUGGCAGCCAACCUCGAAGCACCACAUCGGGCUUUGAAAUGUGCGGGGCCUUUGAGAUUCAGCGCAUCUGAAUCUGAAUUUAUGCCCUCUCACUUGCUGGAAUCUACUGAUCUGUCCACUGUUCCUGGAAGAAAUACUUUGUUUUCAUGUGCCAGUUGCCUUUCCAGCCUGACUGUCAGCCCAAGGUCGCAGGAGAAGAUCUGAUUGCAUGUCCUUGCUUUUGCUGCUCCCAUUCCAAGAACCAGCUUCCUCCUCUGGAAGGUAAGGUUAUGGUAAUGGCAUCAUCUUUGGAUCCUUGCAGAAAGGAAGUGCCAUGUCAGUGUUCUCCAAACUCCUGACUCAAAAUAAUCCUCUUUUAAGGAACAAGUUCCUAACUACAGGAAAUUCUAUAGGACUGAUGGACUGAUGGCACCUAAGUUUUUCGAAAUAUGGUCCCUGCACCAGCAGCAAUGGCAUCAUCUGGGAAUUUGAUAAAAUGCACAGGAGUUCCCAUCGUGGCUCAGUGGAAACGAGUCUGACUAGCAUCCAUGAGGAUUCAGGUUUGAUCCCUGCCCUUCUCAGUGGGUUAAGAAUUUGGCAUUGCCGUGAGCUGUGGUGUAGGUCGCAGACAUGGUGUGGAUCCUCCAUUGUGGCUGUGGUAUAGGCGGGCAGCUACAGCUCCAAUUGGACCCCUAGCCUGGGAAUCUCCACACUCCGCAGGUGCAGCCAUAAAAAGACAAAUAAAACAAAACAAAACAACAACUCCCCCCAAAUAAGCUCUCUAGGCAAUUCUCAUGCCCCCUAAGUUUGAGACUCUCUGAGCUAGGCUUUUCCUUUCCCUGGGCUGAGAUGUGGGAAUGAUCAUCAUGAAUGGGGAUGUGUGCUCAAGGACCACCUCCAGGGAAGGCAUUAGAAAUGGACGUUGGAGGGCAACUAGCUUCUGGGUAUUGGGGGAGGGGGGGAGGCAUUCAGAUGCCAGGACAGUGCUCAGGAGUAGGGAUGCUGAAGGCAGAUCUGCCAAAGUCUGACCUGUUCCCAGCAGGGCCACAGACUGGAAGAGUGACCCCUGAGAGCACAGUCUAGAUUCAGAUUUGACCUUGACUGAAGUAUCACAAAUGUUAUAUCUGUGUUGGGUAAGAGAAAUCAGGAUGCCCAUCCAUUCAUUUAUCCAUCCAUCCAUCCAUCCACACCCAUCCAUCCAUCAUCCACCCUUUCUUUCAACUAAAAUGUAUUUGAAUUAAAGUCAAAUUAUUUGAACUUUAUUCUGUGCCAAGCAUUCGUCUAUGCCCUUGGCUCACAGGAAUGAGGCAACCAGAGAUACCAACUUGUAUUCUUUGAUUAAUUAAAAAAGUUAAGAGGUUGAAAAUAUACUUUAAUGAAAACACAGUCCCUCUGAGUGUCACUAUCUGAAAUACUGAAUUAAAUAUUUCUGUGUGGCAUAGCACAGGAGCAAUAUUUACUCUUAAGGUCUAUUCCCAUCUUUGAGGCGCUCAGAACACUGGGUGUAGGAAUUAGACAUGUGGUGGGUAGAAGGUCAUCCAGGGAAAGUCACCAAUAACCUCACUAAAUUGUUUAACUCUCAGAGUUUCCCACCUCUCCUUAUUCAUUUUCUGAUUUAAUCCUGAAAACAAUACUGUGAAGUCUGAGGAAAUUCAGACUCAGAAUUUAAAUGACUUGCCCCAAGUUACAAAGGAAAUGAGCCACAGAACCAUGACGAAAUUGGAAUCUUCAGAUUCUACCAAACCCUGAGCCCACCACGCUGACUGCUAUUCAGAACAGUGGACAGUCAGGUGCUGGGUAACCCAGGUCCUGCUUUGGGCAAGGGGAGAUCUUUUUAGGAUAUCUAGGCUGCCCACCCCACCCGAGUGUAGGGGCAAGCGUGGAGCCAUGUCUACCACCUAACCCAGAAAGCUGCUUAGGAAACCCACGAUCCACUUCCAAAGACCAUCCAUUUUCAAACACGUGCCACUCCUCAGAAACACUGGUGUCACCACCAGGCAUGGCUACUCUCAGAUCAGAAUAAGAAACCCUCAGCCUCCUAACACUGGUGAUUCCCAAGAAUUUAACACCUCACCGGUGCUGACAGGUUAUUGAGAAAAAAACAAACAAACAAAAAAACCAACAAAAAACCCCCCAAAAAAACCAACCAAACAAAAAAACACACCAAAACACACAGUGGUAGUAAAAUUGUGGCUCUUUGAACAAUAUUAAAACACUUCCGCUACCUUUCAUAUAGAAUUAAUUAACAUAAAACCCAGCAUCCUCAUUGCUGCAGAGCCCUAAAGUGGUUGCCAGAAUUUAAUUAGACUUAACCUUUUUUCCUACCCCAGUACCACUUUAUAAUAACUGCAAAUCAUUAUUAAUUCCUUUGGUGUUCACUGUAAUAACAUUAAUCAUGAUGAACUUCUUUCUGUAGUAAUGUGUAUGUAAUAUGUAAUUCCAUAGCAAUUUAGUAUUAGUUAAGGCUAAAUUGAAAUUAAUUUCACCAAAAGAUACUAUUUGUUAUUGGAUACUGUAUAUUCAUAAAAUAAUAUUUUAAAGCAAUUUAUAUGGAGGUAGCCAGAUGAAGAGGCAUUUGGCAAACCUGCUGAAAGUUCAGAGACAGAACUAUUUGCUGCUGAUUACUGGAGCAUGCCUGAUGGCUGGCGUCACAUAUCCCAAGGUACUUGAAAUAGCAAAUCAGAAAAUGGGUAAGCUAUGAUGGGAUGGUCCUUUGAGAUACAGUACCUUAUCAAUCUGAAGGCAUAGCAUUGGACAAGAAUACAUUUUGGAGUCAUUUCCAGAACCAUGCCUAUGAUUUAUUUUCCCAGAUCUCAAGAUUCAAGUCAUGUUUUUAGCCUCUCCCAGGGUCAGUGUUGUCUUCUGUAAAACGGUUACAUUAUCCCCUCGUGGUGGUUGCUCUUCCGGGCUUCCCAGGAUAUGAUCAAUUUGAGUGAUUUGGAAAAUCACAGUAACUGAGAAUGUAUGCAAUGUUAGAAAGAGAAGCAAUGGUCUAUGUGUGUUUUAUCUUGUUUAAUUUCGUUAGUCUUUGUGGCGGGAUGUUUGAAAGUGGAGAUGCUGAGAAGUUUCGGAAAGGAAGGCCUUUUUUAGAUAACAGCUGUCCUCAUCACUAAUUUCUAGGCGUCCCCUUGUCUCAACCUUUGCCCUCUGCUGGCCUCUCUAGAUACUCUUAUGUUGACAGACCUCUGGGGACUUUCCUCGGUUCGUUUGUCCAUUCAUCUCACCAGACACAAAAGUGAAUAAGACUUAACUCUGCCUUUGGGAAGCUGGUGGUCUUGGGGCUGUGACCAUAAAAGGAUAUUUAAAGUAAAUUCUGAUAAGGGCAGUAGACAUAUGCUGAGGUCAGUGGUGAUAUUAAAAAUAAGUAAUAGCGCAUAAGCACAGAAGGCCUAAGCUCUGACCAAUCAGCAUGGUGGCUGGCAGGUGGAUGGACACUGGCUGGGCUCAGGGCAUGAUGGGACCCCACAAGAGAGUUCUCUAGGUUGAUGGGCUGGAAGGUGGGAAUCAGGGAAACCUCCCUAGAAAAAGAAAGAGUCGUGGAUGAAACUGGGCUUUGGCCAAGAACAGGGAACAGCAGAGGAGCAGCUCAGAGACAGGAGGCCCCUUGCUGUGUAUGAGACAGCAACUAGGAGCAAUUUGUGCUUAUGGGGGACACAGUCUCCUGAGAAGGAGGGUACGGCCCCGCUGGACCAGUGCACGGGACUCUCACAGAGGGCUUUGUAAGAUGUCCUGGGGGAGCUUGGCUUUCAAAGGCUGAGGGCAGGGGUUGGAGGUGAUGCAAUGGGCAGAAGCCUUGCUUCUGCAUUUAUUUUGAGC
rnacentral:lncRNA from 1 species